rnacentral:rRNA from 2 species
AUAGGGGAGCCGGAGGGAAACCGAGUCUUAACCGGGCGUUAAGUUGCAGGGUAUAGACCCGAAACCCGGUGAUCUAGCCAUGGGCAGGUUGAAGGUUGGGUAACACUAACUGGAGGACCGAACCGACUAAUGUUGAAAAAUUAGCGGAUGACCUGUGGCUGGGGGUGAAAGGCCAAUCAAACCGGGAGAUAGCUGGUUCUCCCCGAAAGCUAUUUAGGUAGCGCCUCGUGAACUCAUCUCCGGGGGUAGAGCACUGUUUCGGCUAGGGGGCCAUCCCGGCUUACCAACCCGAUGCAAACUGCGAAUACCGGAGAAUGUUAUCACGGGAGACACACGGCGGGUGCUAACGUCCGUCGUGAAGAGGGAAACAACCCAGACCGCCAGCUAAGGUCCCAAAGUCAUGGUUAAGUGGGAAACGAUGUGGGAAGGCCCAGACAGCCAGGAUGUUGGCUUAGAAGCAGCCAUCAUUUAAAGAAAGCGUAAUAGCUCACUGGUCGAGUCGGCCUGCGCGGAAGAUGUAACGGGGCUAAACCAUGCACCGAAGCUGCGGCAGCGACACUCAGGUGUUGUUGGGUAGGGGAGCGUUCUGUAAGCCUGCGAAGGUGGCCUGUGAGGGUUGCUGGAGGUAUCAGAAGUGCGAAUGCUGACAUAAGUAACGAUAAAGCGGGUGAAAAGCCCGCUCGCCGGAAGACCAAGGGUUCCUGUCCAACGUUAAUCGGGGCAGGGUGAGUCGACCCCUAAGGCGAGGCCGAAAGGCGUAGUCGAUGGGAAACGGGUUAAUAUUCCCGUACUUGGUGUUACUGCGAAGGGGGGACGGAGAAGGCUAUGUUGGCCGGGCGACGGUU